GCCAGCCAAGGGUGAGGCCCCCUGCACAUUUCACCAGGAUGGGAACCCCAAGAUUUCCGGGGUUCAAAGACUUCUCCUGAUUCCUAAAGAUGCUGCCCAUCCUUAAUAAAGCACUUUCAAUUUAUUAAAGAGCUAAUUUUUAAACUUGCAAACAAGUGAUUUUACAAAUGAAUUGUUUCUGGAAUUAAAAUUGUCCUGCAAGCCAAAACCAUGCUUCUGUGGGUGUGUUGAAUAGCACAGAAUUUUUCUUUUCAUGAAUCACAGAGUUUUCAUGCCUAUAUACAUUCCCCACAAAGGUGACUAUUGUCCCUUCCAUAUUAUCAUGAUUGUUUUAGGUCCCCUUUCAAGAUCCAUUCCAAACAUGUGUUACCUGAAUGAUGUUACUUAAAUGUAACAUUGUUAUGUCUAUUGCCAACCUUCAUCUUAGGAAGGAACCAUUUUCUACAAAUAUCAUUCAUCACUUUCAGACAAUGACAUAUAUGUACAGAACUUUACAGAAGUGCUACAGGAGAAAAAAACCUACAUAUCUAGCAAGCUAUUUUUACCAAAAAUGUCUCCCUCUUCAUUAUAAACCAGAAAAGGCUUAGAUGUAGCAUUUAUCUAGCUCAGAAAAUCCUGUUAAAAAUUCAGAAACUAAAGAAACCCUUGAUGAACCCAUGAGAAAAGCCAGUUCCAAACUAUUUUUCACCAAACUAGCAUCGGUGUGGAGCGUCUGGUCACAGAUGCUACCUGAGUCCCUGAGUACAGCAAGGUGAAUGAUACAAGGACAAAAGUUUACAGUCAAGGAUAAACCCAAAGGUGAAGCUCACAAGUUAAGCAUGAAAUGCAGACACAAGCAGCAAAACCUGAGAAUAAAACAAGUAAAUGGAGUCAGCCAUGUAUUAACAAACUAAGUUUCUAUGCCAACAUUUUAUUCAUAUAUGUGUAUACCUAGAAAUAAACCUUAUAAAAUUCCUUUUCAAUAAUUGCUUUUUUAAAAAAAUUGCUGUAUCUUAUUCUUCAAAAGCUAGAGUUCUAAACAUUUCGAUACUAUCAGCAUUUGGAUCACACUGGAAUUCUUUCAGAAUCCAGUAGGAAGAGGACAUUCAUUUAGCAUGUGAAACACCUUUCAAAGUCACCGUUCUCUGUCACUCAGGCACAUGUGGCAUGCCAGCAGACGGGCUGGCAUCUGCAUAAAAUAGUAUUUCAAGACCACGAAUAAUCAGAUGAGCCAAAGAGCAAGGUUACUUACAGCACUUGAUAAAAUGAGAGUGAAACAUCUUUCCAUCUCAGACAGAAAUCUUGCUAGGGGUUCCAGCAUUCUCUUCGGCUACAACUGUCGUCCCCAGGAAAGGCAUUAUUGAGAGGUCCCACUCAGGUGGCACUUUACCUCGGGACGCAUUACUGAAGCGAGGCUCAGUUCCACGGUCGUGCAGAAAGCUCUCACCUCAUUCUCAUUCAGCAGCUGGAGUUCAGAUCGGCGUCCCCCGUGGCUCUGGAGCCACCACGGCUGCACGUGCUAUUGUAGCCCCUUGAUUGACAGGGCUCCUGGUGCCAGGAACCCAGGAAUAGUCGCGGCUAAUUGGUCCUCACAGACACCCCACCUUCCGGCUCCGAGGUGUGCUGCAGUGCGGCUCUCUCUCCCGGUCCUGCCUGUUAAUGGCUUUUCAAUAGCUUUCAGAUGAGGGGGCUGGAGAGAAGCGACUGCAGGAGGGACCCUGAAUCUCAUUUCUGCACGCUGUCCAUGAGCCAAAUGUGACCAGAUUCUUAGCUGGUCCCGAGCUGAUUAUUUUUAGUUGCCACCAGUUGCUGUGUGUGAACAGAAAAUUGAUAGCAGCAUCUCAGAAUAACCACCUCCUAGAAUCACAGGUCUUAGGAGCUGCCUCUCCUAAUGAGGAAAUUGCAUUGUGUUCUUCAAUCCGUCUUGCUGGUUUUCUAUGCAGAAUGUGAAACUUAAAGGAUCCACAAAAAGCUUUUGGUUUGCGAAGCUUUACAAAUUUAGGCUUUUCUGCUGCCUCUGCAGACUGCAGUGAAUGCCGCUGUACAAGCCGGCAAAGUAAUUGUCACUGAGCUGGAUUCAGGAAGAAGGACAAGUAUGAUCUUCAAGGGUUAUUGCAAUAAAAAAGUAUCAAAAUAUCACAUUCACAAUGCAAUAGCCACAUGAACCAAAGAAAAGGUCAUUUAUAAGUCACUUAUGAAUACAACAUAGUUUUUUAAAUUAAUGUUUUAAUGAUGAUCUCAAAAAGAAGUUGACAUAGUCAAGAAGCUGCGUUUCAAAUUGUGAGGGCAUGGAGAGAUAAAUACGAACAGUGUACAUCCUUCUAAGAUAGAAGCCUAGGUCUUAGGUUCCCUUACUAAGCUAAACUCAAAGCGUAAUGCUGUUAUUAAACCCAAAGAUUAUAAAAUUCAAGUCUAUGCAACAAAGGCCAUAACUUAGAUUACAAUUGAGGAAUCAUUCUAUUUUUGUAGUAUGACACAGAAGAACAAGUUCAAGGUUUUGAUCAGAAUGGCCUGAUUUCAUAUUUAGAUUCUAUCGCUCACCAUGGUGUCAAACUGGACAAGUGAUUUGGCUUCCAAGAGUCUUAGCUUCCUCACCUACAGAUGGCAAGUGCAAGUCUUAACCUUUGCUCUGAAGGUCAGAAAGAUGUAUAUACAAAUUCUAGUUGAUAUCAUUGAUUUUCAACAAAACGGGACCAUCAGCGGUAACAAGGAAGUGAUUGAUAUUUAGCUAUAUACCAAAUGACUACUAUAGACACUUGAACUGGUUUCCCCAAGAAUUAGAAUGAGGCUCUCAGUCAUUAUCAUCAAUGCAUAGUCCUCAUUUAUUUGUUCAUUCCACAUUACUUAUUGAAAGUCAUUGUGAUCAAGUCACCAUUUUAAGUGCUUUUCAGGAAUUAAAAACAUGUCUAAAACAUACCCUUUACAUACAUGGAUUAUAGUCUAUUGUCUGAGAUUUCCUUAUGUGUUUUGAAAUGAUUUCUUAUAAAACUAUAAAAUACAACUACAUAUAUCAGCUUCCAGCAAAGAACAAGAGUCUCUCCUCCUACCUCAACACAAGUCUUCACAUACACACGUAGUAAUAGGACUUUAUAUGAAUAUCAUUCAGUGUCUCUUUGGGGAAAGUACUGCUGAUCUUGUUACAGCUGUCCCCUCCUCUGAACAAAAGGUGAUGUGUGUUAUCUAUAUAGCUGCCUUAAAUACAUGCAUUUCUUUGUUUUCUGCAAAAGUGCACAUCUCUCCAUAAUACUUACUCAACAUCUUAAGUGAGUCCUAUGACCCCAUUCACUCAUCGAAGGGAAAAAAUACAGUGUAUGAGAGUCAGAGAAGUAUGGUAUGUGUCUGGCAAAGAAAAUAUGAAAAAAUGAUUGAAAAGAUGAUUGAGUUCAGCUUGAAAGAUCU
rnacentral:lncRNA from 1 species